CUUUGAUUUUGGGCCCAAGUUUCCAACAGAAUUAUAGGUUUUCUCAUAUACCAUUAAAUUUUGUCCCCUUCCAACGUAUUCCUUGGGGAAAAAAAUCGCUUCAUCUUCUUCAAAAAAUUAGAACGAAGAACACUAUCCCUGCAAUUUAAUUUUCUUUUUUACCGUUGAUUGAAUCAUGAUUAUAAAUAGAAGAUUUCGAUUUCCAGAAUGCAGUAUUGUUGAAGGCUUGAAGCAUAUUGUUGAUUUUGGUUUACGGAUUAUCAAGAAGUUUGGAAUUGGAAUUGGAAUUGGAAGUGUAUCAGGAGACUCGAUUACAAAAUCAAAACUCAUCUCAAACUCUCAAAUCUCAAUCACCAAUUCAUCCAGGUGCUAUUAUUCUUUUAUUUUACUUUGAGUGUUAAACAUGGGGCCACCUAGAAAAAUGCUAUCGUAGAUGAUUUUGCAAGUAAAAAUGCUAGGCGAAGUCAUUUUUGUAAGUAAUGAAAUAUUUUUAUUUUUCAAUAUAUUGCCCACAAUAAUAUAUUGAGGGCCCAUUUUUUUAGCUUCGCGUAGGGCCCCAGUUUUGCCAGGACCGGCUCUGCUUCCCUGUCCUCAAAAAUGGC